AUUGAACGCUGGCGGCAUGCUUUACACAUGCAAGUCGAACGGCAGCGCGGGCUUCGGCCUGGCGGCGAGUGGCGAACGGGUGAGUAAUACAUCGGAACGUGCCCAGUAGUGGGGGAUAGCUCGGCGAAAGCCGGAUUAAUACCGCAUACGACCUGAGGGUGAAGGCGGGGGAUCUUCGGACCUCGCGCUAUUGGAGCGGCCGAUGGCAGAUUAGCUAGUUGGUGGGGUAAAGGCCUACCAAGGCGACGAUCUGUAGCUGGUCUGAGAGGACGACCAGCCACACUGGAACUGAGACACGGCCCAGACUCCUACGGGAGGCAGCAGUGGGGAAUUUUGGACAAUGGGCGAAAGCCUGAUCCAGCAAUGCCGCGUGUGUGAUGAAGGCCUUCGGGUUGUAAAGCACUUUUGGCGGGAACGAAAAGGACUGUGCCAAUACCACGGUUCGAUGACGGUACCCGCAGAAUAAGCACCGGCUAACUACGUG
rnacentral:rRNA from 1 species